GCCACCAUCAUCCAUUUAGGCAAGGGGUACCCUCAGAGCAAAACAGCAUUAACCUCAGAAACUGUAGGAGCCAGAUAUCUUCUCCCACCAUUACUGUGGUUACUUUUUAAACUUAAACAGCUCUUUCAGAAACACCUGUGGCUCACGCCUGUCAGCCUAGCUACUCAGGAGGCUGAGAUCUGAGGAUCACAGUUCAAAGCCAGCCUGGGCAGUAAAGUCUGAGACUCGUAUCUCCAAUUAACCAC